ACGUAGGGGGCAAGCGUUGUCCGGAAUUACUGGGCGUAAAGGGUGCGUAGGCGGUUUUUUAAGUCAGAUGUGAAAUACCCGGGCUUAACCUGGGGGGUGCAUCUGAUACUGGGGAACUUGAGUGCGGGAGAGGAAAGUGGAAUUCCUAGUGUAGCGGUGAAAUGCGUAGAUAUUAGGAGGAACACCAGUGGCGAAGGCGGCUUUCUGGGCUGUAUCUGACGCUGAGGCACGAAAGCGUGGGGAGCAAACAG
rnacentral:rRNA from 1 species